CCCAGCUGUGCCCUGCAGAUGUGAGAUAUGCAGAUGAGGCCGGGCAGGUUUUAUAAGGUGGGAGCAGCAGCAGCAUCACCCCACAGAGCAGCGGGGUCACCCCGAGAGGUGCUGUUCAUCCCUCUGCCCGCCGCCCUGGGCUGGAUAUCAUCAUAUACUGUAAGUUCACUAUGAGACACUACAGUAUAGAUGAUGUACUCCCCUGGGCUGCACCCGGCCCCGUAGAGCUGCUCCGUGGGACCUCAGUGUGGGGAGUUAUGGGGCGCCCUGAGGAGUGGAUGCAGCUGAGAACUCAUGGCUGGCAGGGAAACCGUUACCAUUACUGAGUUUAGUAAUGGUAACGGUUCUGCUGACGGCCAGGCGUGCUGCGAGGCAUGGAGUGCUGUGGGUCAAUGUGGGUCAAUGUGGGUCAGUAUGGGUCGGUGCUGUGGGUUCAAUAAAGUCAGAGAUGGCACAGAGA